ACGGUGUGACUUUCUCUCGGGCCUGUCUGUUCCCCACAGAAUUCACCGUAUUUCUGAAUGUCUUUCUCCUGUGACUCUAAUUUUAAGGGGCCUGGGGUUUGAUCCCUGGUUGGAGAACGAGGGACCCGCAAGCCACACAGCGCCCUAGCCAAGAGAAUAACCAGGGUCUUAAUGCAGCACCAGCUAAUCAGCGGAACAGCGGCACGGGAGAGCAGCAGCCCCACCCAGCCGUCCCCUGGCUCACUGGUGGCUAGGAGUUCCAGUACAGAGUGGAAUAAAAGACAUAAGAGCAGACGUCCUUGCUCUGUUCCUGAUCUUUGGGAGAAAGCACCAUAUGAUGUCAGCUCUACAUGUUUCAUAGAUGCUAUUCCUGAGGUUGAGGCAGUUUUCUUCCGUUCCUAGAUUGCUAAGAUUUCCACAUAUCAAUGAUGAA